GCGUCGGUAGUGCAACUGGUUAAGCACGCGCCCCUGGGAAUGGGUGAGAUGAGGGCUCGAGUCCCGCUUGAGGUCA